rnacentral:rRNA from 1 species
GAUGAACGCUGGCGGCGUGCCUAAUACAUGCAAGUCGAACGCUGAAGGAGGAGCUUUCUCUUCUGGAUGAGUUGCGAACGGGUGAGUAACGCGUAGGUAACCUGCCUGGUAGCGGGGGAUAACUAUUGGAAACGAUAGCUAAUACCGCAUGACAACAGUUAUUGCAUGAUAACUGUUUAAAAGGGGCAACUGCUCCACUACCAGAUGGACCUGCGUUGUAUUAGCUAGUUGGUGAGGUAAUGGCUCAACAAGGCGACGAUACAUAGCCGACCUGGGAGGGGGAUCGGCCACACUGGGACUGAGACACGGCCCAGACUCCUAAGGGGAGCAGCAGGAGGGAAUCUUCGGCAAUGGACGGAAGGCUGACCGAGCAACGCCGCGGGAGGGAAGAAGGGUCUCGGAUCGUAAAGCUCGGUUGUAAGAGAAGAACGAGUGUGAGAGUGGAAAGUUCACACUGUGACGGUAGCUUACCAGAAAGGGACGGCUAACUACGUG